AAUCUUAAAUACACUACUAACUUCAGAAUCAUCUUCAAUUCUUCAUGAAUAUGUUAUAAAGAUAUGUAUGCCUUCAAAUACAACAUGAAUAUUACAUAUGGCAACAUUUUGACUAAUCAUCCAACUGAAGUUUUCUGUAUCUAAUUCUCCUGAUCUGUACAUGAAUUUCCCUCCUCUCCAUUCAUUUAUGAUCUUAUACAGAGGUUUGGAAUUUCCUUCCCUAUGAUUCUAUAAGGACUUCUGUUUUCAGGUCCCAGGCGAAAGCUACUAGGAACGCUUGAGGGGCUGGCUGCACGUGAACUCGAGUUCAGCUCCAUUGAAGUAAUACAGGGAAAGACUUCAAGUGCAGAACGUGGAGAAUGGUGAGAAGUUGCUCCAUAUUCACAGGUUUCAGGUUGAGUUUGCCGGCAAGUUUCACUGCUACAUGGUGAUUUUGCUUGCCUGCCAGAUGUUCCUGGUAACAGUGGUUUUUGUUCCUUUUUGGGGUUGAUUGGGUUCUUAGGACUCAGGGUAUCAUGGAAUUUCUUCCCCGGAGAAUCCUCUGAGCAACCAGCAACAUUGAUACUAUGCUCAAGGGAACUAGUACUACGUAAAAAAGCAUGUUCAAGUAGCAUCAUAGCUGAUGGCCUAUCUGCAGGUUUCCUCCGAAAGCAGCACUGAAGGAAAUCCUUUCCUUCUGAUGAUAAUUUUUCUGGUAUAGGUGGUGAUUUGUUCAAGACACCGAACAUUGCUUGCACCCAACUAAGUUCGCCCCAAGGGGGCUGUCCAGUAAACAUCUCAAUAACAGUACAGCCCAGGCUCCAUAUAUCAACAGCUAAGGCAAGCUCUGGAUUGGCAUCUUUGCGCAAAACAGCCUGCAUUACCUCUGGAGCCAUCCAGUGAGGGCUCCCUUUCAGAGAAAGAUCAGUCGCACAGCUUGAAAGAUGUUUUGCUAACCCAAAAUCUGCAAGCUUG
rnacentral:misc_RNA from 1 species